rnacentral:rRNA from 1 species
GUUGCGCCCGAGGCCUUUGGCCGAGGGCACGUCUGCCUGGGCGUCACGCAACGU